UACGUAGGGUGCGAGCGUUGUCCGGAAUUAUUGGGCGUAAAGAGCUCGUAGGCGGCUUGUCGCGUCGGGUGUGAAAGCCCGGGGCUUAACCCCGGGUCUGCAUUCGAUACGGGCAGGCUAGAGUUCGGUAGGGGAGACUGGAAUUCCUGGUGUAGCGGUGAAAUGCGCAGAUAUCAGGAGGAACACCGGUGGCGAAGGCGGAUCUCUGGGCCUUACCUGACGCUGAGGCGCGAAAGCUAGGGGAGCAAACAGG
rnacentral:rRNA from 1 species